CACACCGCCCGUCACACCAUGGGAGUUGGCCAUACCCGAAGGCGCUGCGCUAACCCGCAAGGGAGGCAGGCGACCACGGUAGGGUCAGCGACUGGGGUG
rnacentral:rRNA from 1 species